rnacentral:rRNA from 1 species
CUUGGUCAUUUAGAGGAAGUAAAAGUCGUAACAAGGUUUCCGUAGGUGAACCUGCGGAAGGAUCAUUAUCGAAAUUAUUGGUGAGGGUUGUAGCUGGCCUUUCGAGGCAUGUGCACGCUCGAGCCCUUAAUCCACUUUACACCUGUGCACUUAAUGUAGGUCGCCCUUAAAAAAGGUGACCUAUGUCUUAUCAUCAACCCAUCGUAUGUCUCAUAGAAUGUAAUCGAUAUCCUCGCCCUAAAAAAGCGUUGAUAAACUUAUACAACUUUCAACAACGGAUCUCUUGGCUCUCGCAUCGAUGAAGAACGCAGCGAAAUGCGAUAAGUAAUGUGAAUUGCAGAUUUUCAGUGAAUCAUCGAAUCUUUGAACGCACCUUGCGCUCCUUGGUAUUCCGAGGAGCAUGCCUGUUUGAGUGUCAUUAAAUUCUCAACUCCAAGGGUUUCACGACCUUUCGGAGAUUGGACUUGGAGGUGCUGGCCGCAUAUUGGUCGGCUCCUCUCAAAUGCAUCAGCGGAAUUCAACCUUUGGCUUCCGGAUGUCAGUGUGAUAAUCAUGUUGCGCUGUCGUUUGAUCCCUCAGAGUCCGCUUAUAAUGGUCUUCGGACAAAAUCAUCAUCAAAUUUGACCUCAAAUCAGGUAGGACUACCCGCUGAACUUAAGCAUAUCAAUAAGCGGAGA